rnacentral:rRNA from 1 species
GACGAACGCUGGCGGCGUGCCUAAUACAUGCAAGUCGAGCGAAUCGAUGGGAGCUUGCUCCCUGAGAUUAGCGGCGGACGGGUGAGUAACGCGUGGGUAACCUGCCUGUAAGACUGGGAUAACUUCGGGAAACCGGAGCUAAUACCGGAUACUUUCUUUUCUCGCAUGAGGGAAGAUGGAAAGUUGGUUCUGCUAUCACUUACAGAUGGACCCGCGGCGCAUUAGCUAGUUGGUGAGGUAACGGCUCACCAAGGCAACGAUGCGUAGCCGACCUGAGAGGGUGAUCGGCCACACUGGGACUGAGACACGGCCCAGACUCCUACGGGAGGCAGCAGUAGGGAAUCUUCCGCAAUGGACGAAAGUCUGACGGAGCAACGCCGCGUGAGCGAAGAAGGCCUUCGGGUCGUAAAGCUCUGUUGUUAGGGAAGAACAAGUACGAGAGUAACUGCUCGUACCUUGACGGUACCUAACCAGAAAGCCACGGCUAACUACGUGCCAGCAGCCGCAGUAACAC